UUGAACGCUGGCGGCAUGCUUUACACAUGCCAGUCGAACGGCAGCGGGGAGGAGCUUGCUUCUCUGCCGGCGAGUGGCGAACGGGUGAGUAAUACAUCGGAACGUGUCGAGAAGAGGGGGAUAACCACCCGAAAGGGUGGCUAAUACCGCAUAAAUUCUGAGGAAGAAAGCUGGGGACCUAGGAAUAGGCCUAGCGCUUUUUGAGCGGCCGAUGUCGGAUUAGCUAGUUGGUGAGGUAAAGGCUCACCAAGGCGAAGAUCUGUAGCGGGUCUGAGAGGAUGAUCCGCCACACUGGGACUGAGACACGGCCCAGACUCCUACGGGAGGCAGCAGUGGGGAAUUUUGGACAAUGGGGGCAACCCUGAUCCAGCCAUGCCGCGUGUAUGAAGAAGGCCUUAGGGUUGUAAAGUACUUUUGUUAGGGAAGAAAAGUCAGCUGUGAAUAAUGGCUGAUACUGACGGUACCUAAAGAAUAAGCACCGGCUAACUACGUG
rnacentral:rRNA from 1 species